CGUUUUUUAUGUUUUGGAUGCAAAAAUCGUCGUUUUCCAUUUCACCGGGUCGGGAAAUGGGACUUUGUCUGUAUACCGUUGCUGCCAGAAAAUGUCAAAUUCAAGGGUCGCGAAAUUGACCCUUUGUCAGGCCAGCAGCGCCGCACCUAGAGUUCAGAAGGACAAAGGGGCACCCCGAUAUGGAGACGGCAUCUAAACAUUAUAGGUUUUUAAUGUUUUAGGUGCCAAAAACUUCAUUUUCCGUUGCGCCUAGUAGGGAAGUAGUAGGUUGCGUAGUUUUUUCUUUUAUUAAUUUGUUAUUCUUUUUCAGGGACAUUGUCAGUAUAAUCACCGCUACCAGAAAAAAAAUCCGAAUUUAAGGGUCACGAUUUUGACCUUUUGCCGGGUCGGCAGCGCCGCGCCAAGGGUCAAUAAAAUCGAGGGAGCUUCUUGACAUAGGGAUGGCAUCAAAACAUUGUGAAUUAUAUAUAUUAUUAUAUAGUACUCUGUUUUAUGUUUUGAUUAAAUUAUUUCAAUCUUUAA